rnacentral:rRNA from 1 species
GAUGAACGCUGGCGGCGUGCCUAAUACAUGCAAGUCGAGCGAACGGACGAGAAGCUUGCUUCUCUGAUGUUAGCGGCGGACGGGUGAGUAACACGUGGAUAACCUACCUAUAAGACUGGGAUAACUUCGGGAAACCGGAGCUAAUACCGGAUAAUAUUUUGAACCGCAUGGUUCAAAAGUGAAAGACGGUCUUGCUGUCACUUAUAGAUGGAUCCGCGCUGCAUUAGCUAGUUGGUAAGGUAACGGCUUACCAAGGCAAUGAUGCAUAGCCGACCUGAGAGGGUGAUCGGCCACACUGGAACUGAGACACGGUCCAGACUCCUACGGGAGGCAGCAGUAGGGAAUCUUCCGCAAUGGGCGAAAGCCUGACGGAGCAACGCCGCGUGAGUGAUGAAGGUCGUAGGNNNNAAAACUCUGUUAUUAGGGAAGAACAUAUGUGUAAGUAACUGUGCACAUCUUGACGGUACCUAAUCAGAAAGCCACGGCUAACUACGUGCCAGCAGCCGCGGUAAUACGUAGGUGGCAAGCGUUAUCCGGAAUUAUUGGGCGUAAAGCGCGCGUAGGCGGUUUUUUAAGUCUGAUGUGAAAGCCCACGGCUCAACCGUGGAGGGUCAUUGGAAACUGGAAAACUUGAGUGCAGAAGAGGAAAGUGGAAUUCCAUGUGUAGCGGUGAAAUGCGCAGAGAUAUGGAGGAACACCAGUGGCGAAGGCGACUUUCUGGUCUGUAACUGACGCUGAUGUGCGAAAGCGUGGGGAUCAAACAGGAUUAGAUACCCUGGUAGUCCACGCCGUAAACGAUGAGUGCUAAGUGUUAGGGGGUUUCCGCCCCUUAGUGCUGCAGCUAACGCAUUAAGCACUCCGCCUGGGGAGUACGACCGCAAGGUUGAAACUCAAAGGAAUUGACGGGGACCCGCACAAGCGGUGGAGCAUGUGGUUUAAUUCGAAGCAACGCGAAGAACCUUACCAAAUCUUGACAUCCUUUGACAACUCUAGAGAUAGAGCUUUCCCCUUCGGGGGACAAAGUGACAGGUGGUGCAUGGUUGUCGUCAGCUCGUGUCGUGAGAUGUUGGGUUAAGUCCCGCAACGAGCGCAACCCUUAAGCUUAGUUGCCAUCAUUAAGUUGGGCACUCUAAGUUGACUGCCGGUGACAAACCGGAGGAAGGUGGGGAUGACGUCAAAUCAUCAUGCCCCUUAUGAUUUGGGCUACACACGUGCUACAAUGGACAAUACAAAGGGCAGCGAAACCGCGAGGUCAAGCAAAUCCCAUAAAGUUGUUCUCAGUUCGGAUUGUAGUCUGCAACUCGACUACAUGAAGCUGGAAUCGCUAGUAAUCGUAGAUCAGCAUGCUACGGUGAAUACGUUCCCGGGUCU